GAGUUUGAUCAUGGCUCAGGAUGAACGCUAGCGGCAAGCCUAACACAUGCAAGUCGAACGGUAACUUUUGGUGCUUGCACCGAAAGACGAGUGGCGAACGGGUGAGUAACGCGUAUGCAAUCUGCCUUUUACUAGGGUAUAGCCCAGAGAAAUUUGGAUUAAUCCCCUAUAAUAUCAUUUAAUCGCAUGAUUUUAUGAUUAAAGCUUCGGCGGUAAAAGAUGAGCAUGCGUCCUAUUAGUUAGUAGGUGAGGUAACGGCUCACCUAGACUCCGAUAGGUAGGGGUCCUGAGAGGGAGAUCCCCCACACUGGUACUGAGACACGGACCAGACUCCUACGGGAGGCAGCAGUGAGGAAUAUUGGACAAUGGACGAAAGUCUGAUCCAGCUAUGCCGCGUGCAGGAUGACGGCCCUAUGGGUUGUAAACUGCUUUUAUACAGGAAGAAAAACUCCGACGUGUCGGAACUUGACGGUACUGUAAGGAUAAGGAUCGGCUAACUCCGUGCCAGCAGCCGCGGUAAUACGGAGGAUCCAAGCGUUAUCCGGAAUCAUUGGGUUUAAAGGGUCCGUAGGCGGUUUUUUAAGUCAGAGGUGGAAUCCUGCAGCUCAACUGUAGAAUUGCCUUUGAUACUGAAAGACUUGAGUUAUUGUGAAGUGGUUAGAAUGUGUGGUGUAGCGGUGAAACGCAUAGAUAUCAUACAGAAUACCAAUUGCGAAGGCAGAUCACUAACAAUAUACUGACGCUCAGGGACGAAAGCGUGGGUAGCGAACAGGAUUAGAUACCCUGUAGUCCACGCCGUAAACGAUGGAUACUAGCUG
rnacentral:rRNA from 1 species